rnacentral:rRNA from 1 species
UACAGAGGUCCCAAGCGUUGUUCGGAUUCACUGGGCGUAAAGGGUGCGUAGGUGGUCGGGUAAGUCUUGAUGUGAAAUCCCGCAGCUCAACUGCGGAAUGGCAUUGGAUACUAUUUGGCUAGAGGGUUGGAAGGGGGGACUGGAAUUCUCGGGUGUAGCAGUGAAAUGCGUAGAUAAUCGAGAGGAACACCAGUGGCGAAGGCG